ensembl:lncRNA
UCUCUCUCUCUCCUUCUAUUUCUCUCUCUCCUUCUAUUUCUUUCUCUCUCCUAUUUCUCUCUCUCUCUCAUAUUUCUCUCUCUCCUUCUAUUUCUUUCUCUCUCCUAUUUCUCUCUCUCUCUCUCUCUCCUAUUUCUCUCUCUCUCCUAUUUCUCUCUCUCUCUCUCCUAUUUCUUUCUCUCUCCUAUCUCUCUCUCUCUCUCUCUCAUAUUUCUCUCUCUCUCUCAUAUUUCUCUGUCUCUCUCCUUCUAUUUCUUUCUCUCUCCUAUUUUUCUCUCUAUCUCUGUCUCUCUGUCUCCUUCUCUGUCCCUUAACAGGAUACAAUGACCCCAGCUUCAAUACUCUGCCUCUGGCCUCUGAGUUUGGUUCUGUCUCUGUGAAGCUGGGAGGUAAUUGGAUGAUGGACUGUGUGAGCUGGUCUGGAUUCCAGGCCUCCGGGUGUGUGUGUCUGUCCCAUAUUAUGUAGAUACUGGACUAUGUAGGUACUGUACUAUGUAGGUAGUGCACUAUGUAGGUACUCUGCUAUGUAGAUACUGUGCUGUGUAGAUACUCUGCUAUGUAGGUACUGUACUAUGUAGGUAGUGCACUAUGUAGGUACUGUGCUAUGUAGAUACUGUACUAUGUAGGUACUGUACUAUGUAGGUACUGUGCUAUGUAGGUAGUGCACUAUGUAGGUACUGUGCUGUGUAGAUACUAUGCUAUGUAGGUACUGUACUAUGUAGGUAGUGCACUAUGUAGAUACUGUACUAUGUAGAUACUGUGCUGUGUAGGUACUGUGCUAUGUAGAUACUGUGCUAUGUAGGUAGUGCACUAUGUAGAUACUGUACUAUGUAGAUACUGUGCUGUGUAGGUACUGUGCUAUGUAGAUACUGUGCUAUGUAGGUACUGUGCUAUGUAGGUACUGUUACAUUUAGGUACUGUGGUAUGUAGGUACUGUGCUAUGUAGGUACUGUGCUAUGUAGGUAGUGCACUAUGUAGAUACUGUGCUAUGUAGAUACUCUGCUAUAUAGGUACUGUACUAUGUAGGUACUGUGCUAUGUAGAUACUCUGCUAUGUAGAUACUGUGCUAUGAAGGUACUGUGCUAUGUAGGUACUGUGCUAUGUAGGUACUGUACUAUGUAGGUUCUGUGCUAUGUAGGUAUUGUGCUAUGUAGGUACUGACCUAUGUAGGUACUGUGCUAUGUAGGUACUGUGCUAUGUAGGUACUGUACUAUGUAGGUACUGUGAUAUGUAGGUACUGAGCUAUGUAGGUACUGUGCUAUGUAGGUACUGAGCUAUGUAGGUACUGUGCUAUGUA